rnacentral:rRNA from 1 species
AGAGUUUGAUCCUGGCUCAGAAUAAACGCUGGCGGCGUGCUUAACACAUGCAAGUCGAACGAGAAAGGUCUUCGGACUGAGUAGAGUGGCGAACGGGUGAGUAACGCGUGGAUUAUCUGCCUUUUAGUGGAGAAUACCUUCGAGAAAUUGAAGUUAAUACUCCUGUUGAAUAAACGGGAAGAAAGAUGGCCUCUUUGCUGUCGCUAAAAGAUGAGUCUGCGUACUAUUAGCUAGUUGGUAGGGUAAAGGCCUACCAAGGCUAUGAUGGUUAGCCGGCCUGAGAGGGUGUACGGCCACAUUGGAACUGAGAUACGGUCCAGACUCCUACGGGAGGCAGCAGUGAGGAAUUUUGCGCAAUGGACGAAAGUCUGACGCAGCGACGCCGCGUGGAGGAUGAAGGCCUUCGGGUCGUAAACUUCUGUUAAGUGGGAAAAAAUACACAAGUUUAAUAAACUUGUGGGCUGAUUGUACCGCUAGAGAAAGCACCGGCUAACUUCGUGCCAGCAGCCGCGGUAAUACGAAGGGUGCGAGCGUUAUUCGGAAUCAUUGGGUGUAAAGGGUGCGCAGGCGGUUUGUUAAGUCAGUCGUUUAAUGCUUCGGCCUAACCGAAGUUUAAUGACAGAAACUGGCAUACUAGAGUGUGGAAGAGAGGAGUGGAAUUCUCGGAGUAGCGGUAAAAUGCGUAGAUCUCGAGAGGAACACCGAUGGCGAAGGCAGCUCCUUGGUCCAUUACUGACGCCAUGCACGAAAGCGUGGGGAGCAAACAGGAUUAGAUACCCUGGUAGUCCACGCUGUAAACGAUGGUCACUAGACGUUGGUCUCGCUUGCGAGAUCAGUGUCGCAGCUAACGCGAUAAGUGACCCACCUGGGGACUACGGUCGCAAGAUUAAAACUUAAAGAAAUUGACGGGGGUCCGCACAAGCGGUGGAACAUGUGGUUUAAUUCGAUACUACGCGAGGAACCUUACCUAGACUUGACAUGUAUUUGACAAUUGUAGAAAUACGAUUUNNNNNNNNNNNNNNNNNNNNNNNNNNNNNNNNNNNNNNNNNNNNNNNNNNNNNGUGUCGUGAGAUGUUGGGUUAAGUCCUCUAACGAGCGCAACCCCUGCUAUCAGUUGCUACCACUUUGUGGAGCACUCUGGCGAGACUGCCUGGGAAACCAGGAGGAAGGCGGGAAUGACGUCAAGUCAGCAUGGCCCUUAUGCCCAGGGCUACACACGUGUUACAAUGGCUAAUACAAAGGGAAGCGAUACCGCAAGGUGGAGCAAAUCCCAGAAAGUUAGUCUAAGUUCGGAUCGAGGUCUGCAACCCGACCUCGUGAAGUUGAAAUCGCUAGUAAUCGCGCAUCAGAUCGGCGCGGUGAAUACGUUCUCGGACCUUGUACACACCGCCCGUCACACCAUGAAAGCUGUCUGCACCCGAAAUUAUCUUAGCUAACCCGUAAGGGAGGCGGGUACUGAAGGUGUGGGGAGUGAUCGGGGUUAAGUCGUAACAAGGUAACC